CGGGGGGGAGUUCUCCCAGUGGAUGCAAACACAAACAAAUAUUUUUUUAAACUAAUUCAGUCAACACAAGAUUUCUUUUAGUAGAAAACAACUUCAAAACUUUCAACAAUGGAUCUCUUGGUUCUCGCAUCGAUGAAGAACGCAGCGAAAUGCGAUACGUAAUGUGAAUUGCAGAAUUCCGUGAAUCAUCGAAUCUUUGAACGCACAUUGCGCCCUCUGGUAUUCCGGGGGGCAUGCCUGUUUGAGCGUCAUUUC
rnacentral:rRNA from 1 species